GAACUGAAGAGUUUGAUCCUGGCUCAGAUUAAACGCUGGCGGCAUGCCUUACACAUGCAAGUCGAACGGCAGCACGGGGGCAACCCUGGUGGCGAGUGGCGGACGGGUGAGUAAUGCAUCGGAACGUGCCCUGAAGUGGGGGAUAACGCAGCGAAAGCUACGCUAAUACCGCAUAUUCUGUGAGCAGGAAAGCAGGGGAUCGCAAGACCUUGCGCUUUGGGAGCGGCCGAUGUCGGAUUAGCUAGUUGGUGGGGUAAAGGCCUACCAAGGCGACGAUCCGUAGCGGGUCUGAGAGGAUG
rnacentral:rRNA from 1 species